rnacentral:rRNA from 1 species
UAGGGAAUCUUCCGCAAUGGACGCAAGUCUGACGGAGCAACGCCGCGUGAGUGAAGAAGGAUUUCGGUUCGUAAAACUCUGUUGUUAGAGAAGAACAGCGCAUAGAGUAACUGUUAUGCGUGUGACGGUAUCUAACCAGAAAGCCACGGCUAACUACGUGCCAGCAGCCGCGGUAAUACGUAGGUGGCAAGCGUUGUCCGGAUUUAUUGGGCGUAAAGCGAGCGCAGGCGGUUAGAAAAGUCUGAAGUGAAAGGCAGUGGCUCAACCAUUGUAGGCUUUGGAAACUGUUUAACUUGAGUGCAGAAGGGGAGAGUGGAAUUCCAUGUGUAGCGGUGAAAUGCGUAGAUAUAUGGAGGAACACCGGUGGCGAAAGCGGCUCUCUGGUCUGUAACUGACGCUGAGGCUCGAAAGCGUGGGGAGCGAAAAGG